rnacentral:rRNA from 1 species
UAAUACAUGCAAGUCGAGCGGACCGACGGGAGCUUGCUCCCUUAGGUCAGCGGCGGACGGGUGAGUAACACGUGGGUAACCUGCCUGUAAGACUGGGAUAACUCCGGGAAACCGGGGCUAAUACCGGAUGCUUGAUUGAACCGCAUGGUUCAAUCAUAAAAGGUGGCUUUUAGCUACCACUUGCAGAUGGACCCGCGGCGCAUUAGCUAGUUGGUGAGGUAACGGCUCACCAAGGCGACGAUGCGUAGCCGACCUGAGAGGGUGAUCGGCCACACUGGGACUGAGACACGGCCCAGACUCCUACGGGAGGCAGCAGUAGGGAAUCUUCCGCAAUGGACGAAAGUCUGACGGAGCAACGCCGCGUGAGUGAUGAGGGUUUUCGGAUCGUAAAACUCUGUUGUUAGGGAAGAACAAGUACCGUUCGAAUAGGGCGGUACCUUGACGGUACCUAACCAGAAAGCCACGGCUAACUACGUGCCAGCAGCCGCGGUAAUACGUAGGUGGCAAGCGUUGUCCGGAAUUAUUGGGCGUAAAGCGCGCGCAGGCGGUUUCUUAAGUCUGAUGUGAAAGCCCCCGGCUCAACCGGGGAGGGUCAUUGGAAACUGGGGAACUUGAGUGCAGAAGAGGAGAGUGGAAUUCCGCGUGUAGCGGUGAAAUGCGUAGAGAUGUGGAGGAACACCAGUGGCGAAGGCGACUCU